rnacentral:tRNA from 1 species
AAGGAUUUAAGUUAAAAAAAAACUAAUAACCUUCAAAGUUAAAAAUAGGGACUAAUUUCCUAAGCCUUA